AAUAAACCAAUCUUUCAUUUUUUACCUAUAAUGUUUAACUCUUCGUCUUAUUUGAAAAAAAUUAUGAUUAAUAUUUUUAUUUUUAUUAGAUUAUAAAUUAUAAAUAGUACUUUAUGUGUGACUAAUUUUUUUAAAAAAACUUUAGAAAAUUUUUAAAUAAGAUGGAUAGUCAAAUGUUGGACACGUAUACCUAAAGUUUGCCUUAUU
rnacentral:pre_miRNA from 1 species